AGCUUUGUGCUCUAGUAGUAUUGUAGCCAGUGGGGUUUAUCCAAGGCACAGUUAUUACUAGUUGAAAUAUAAAUAUCAUGCCUCCCUAGGAAUAACAUAAUAAUAAUGAACUUUGCUUAUUUUGUUAAUCUAUUUCAAAACUUCUAAGUA
rfam:Cavia porcellus supercont2_5 genomic scaffold, whole genome shotgun sequence.